GCGUCGGUAGUGCAACGGUACAACACGCUGCACCGGAAAGAGUGAGAUCUGGGUUUGAAUCACAGCUGACGCA